rnacentral:rRNA from 1 species
GAUGAACGCUAGCGGCGUGCCUAAUGCAUGCAAGUCGAACGGGAUCCUUUGGACUCGUCUGAAGGUGAGAGUGGCGAACGGGUGAGUAACACGUUGGUGACCUACCCCAGAGAGGGGGAUAACCAUUGGAAACGAUGGCUAAUACCCCAGAUGUCAUUGCUGUUAGAGGGCAAUGACUAAAGCUCCGGCGCUCUGGGAGGGGCCUGCGGCCCAUCAGCUAGUUGGUAGGGUAAUGGCCUACCAAGGCAAGACGGGUAGGGGGCGUGAGAGCGUGACCCCCCACACUGGUACUGACACACGGACCAGAUACCUACGGGUAGCAGCAGCAAGGAAUAUUGCCCAAUGGACGCAAGUCUGAGGCAGCAACGCCGCGUGGAGGAUGAAGGCCUUCGGGUUGUAAACUCCUUUUCUGGGGGAAGAGAAAGGACGGUACCCCAGGAAUAAGUCUCGGCUAACUACGUG